GACAGAGGAUGCAAGCGUUAUCCGGAAUGAUUGGGCGUAAAGCGUCUGUAGGUGGCUUUUUAAGUCCGCCGUCAAAUCCCAGGGCUCAACCCUGGACAGGCGGUGGAAACUACCAAGCUGGAGUACGGUAGGGGCAGAGGGAAUUUCCGGUGGAGCGGCGAAAUGCGUAGAUAUCAGGAGGAACACCAGUGGCGAAGGCGGCUUACUGGACUGUAACUGACGUUGAGGCUCGAAAAGCGUGGGGGAGCAAACAGG
rnacentral:rRNA from 1 species